rnacentral:rRNA from 1 species
CUGUCCAGUACAGGUACCUGAAACCUGGGUUCAACCUGGCUAAGGGCCUGCAAACGACGGGAGUAACUCUGACUCUCUUAAGGUAGCCAAAUGCCUUGUCGGGUAAGUUCCGACGCGCAUGAAUGGAACAACGAGGACCCCGCUGUCCCCGCUUGGUACCCGGUGAACCCACGUAACGUGGACGAACAGUCCACGGACUCCCAGCGGGAAAAGAAGACCCCGUGGAGCUUUACUGCAGCCUGUNNNNNNNNNACGGUUGUGAUUGCAGAGCGUAGGUGGGAGCCGUCGAUCUUAGCUUCUCCGGAGGCUAGGGGAGGUGACAAUGGAACACCACCCUUUUGCGGCUGUAUCCCUUACUGGCGCGAAUGCGCUGGGACAACGGUUGGUGGGCAGUUUGGCUGGGGCGGCACCCCCUUGAAAAAAUAUCGAGGGGGCCCAAAGGUCAGCUCAGACGGGACAGAAACCCGUCGUAGAGCGUAAAGGCAAAAGCUGGCCUGACUGGAUCCUCCGACGCAAGGGAUCCAGAGGCGAAAGCCUGGCUUAGCGAGCCGUCAUGUCCUCAUUGGUGGGGGCUGGCGGCGACAGAAAAGUUACCCCGGGGAUAACAGGCUCGUCGCGGGCGAGAGUUCCCAUCGGCCCCGCAGCUUGGUACCUCGAUGUCGGCUCUUCCCAUCCUGGCUCCGUAUAAGAAGCCAAGGGUGAGGCUGCUCGCCUAUUAAAGGGGAACGUGAGCUGGGUUUAGACCGUCGUGAGACAGGUCGGACUUUAUCUGCUGGGAGCGGUGGUCGCCUGAGGGGAAAGGGUUCCCAGUACGAGAGGAACGGGACGCUGUAGCCUCUAGUUUACCGGUUGUCCGACAGGGCACUGCCGGGCAGCCACGCUGCUGCGGAUAAGAGCUGAAAGCAUCUAAGCUCGAAGCUGCUCCCGAGAAGAGGCGGCCAUUCCCAAGGUUUGAGACUCGGUGACGGGUCUCAUCGCGGGACGAGGGUUCCCAUAGAAGAUGGGGUAUAUGGAGCCGGGGUGUACGCUGGAAGGCUUCGGCCGACCAGUUCAGCCCGCGGAUCCCAAUCACCCGAGGUGUCGGGUUG